rnacentral:piRNA from 1 species
UAUUCUCUGAGGCAAAUGGCUGC